ACUCCUACGGGAGGCAGCAGUGGGGAAUAUUGCACAAUGGGCGCAAGCCUGAUGCAGCCAUGCCGCGUGUGUGAAGAAGGCCUUCGGGUUGUAAAGCACUUUCAGUCGUGAGGAAGGUAGUGUAGUUAAUAGCUGCAUUAUUUGACGUUAGCGACAGAAGAAGCACCGGCUAACUACGUGCCAGCAGCCGCGGUGAUACGUAGGGUGCGAGCGUUGUCCGGAUUUAUUGGGCGUAAAGGGCUCGUAGGUGGUUGAUCGCGUCGGAAGUGUAAUCUUGGGGCUUAACCCUGAGCGUGCUUUCGAUACGGUUGACUUGAGGAAGGUAGGGGAGAAUGGAAUUCCUGGUGGAGCGGUGGAAUGCGCAGAUAUCAGGAGGAACACCAGUGGCGAAGGCGGUUCUCUGGGCCUUUCCUGACGCUGAGGAGCGAAAGCGUGGGGAGCGAACAGGCUUAGAUACCCUGGUAGCUA
rnacentral:rRNA from 1 species